AUACAUAUAUUCCUGUAUAUUCUUCAGCAACAGAUUGACUAAUAAAACCUUGUGCUGCAUAAAAAUAGGAAGUGGAGAGAAUGUUCUUGAAGUAAUCCAGCAGUAGCUCGUUGUGAGGAUUAUGCAACUGUUACAUAUUGUAUUGAAAAAAAAAUAGAAAUAAUAUAUAGUAGGAUUGAAAGCAUUAGAGUUGUCACCUGAGACCAUCAAAAGAAGUCCUUUUCUACUGAACUAAUGAAAUUAUGAAUGUCUGCCUCUUCAAGAGGGGAAAAAAAAAUCUGUGAAUACCUGUGGGCUGCUGAGUUUAAUUGAACCAGUCUGGUAAUACUGUAUGAAUGAAGCAAAGAUUCACUGUCUGACUAAUUGCCUGUAAACUGCAUUUCAUUAUCUUUUUCUCUUUCCUUUAUAGUUACAUAGAACUCUGAGUUAGCAGAAUUAUGGAUCUCAGAUAAAGAGAAAUUAUCUAACUUAUGGUCUAUGUAUGAUAUCAUAUUUGCUGGCAAAAGACAUUGAGAGAAAUGAAUUUAUUGUGUAGAGAACAGUUUUGAG